UGGGGAAUAUUGCACAAUGGGGGAAACCCUGAUGCAGCGACGCCGCGUGAACGAAGAAGGUAUUCGUAUCGUAAAGUUCUGUCCUAUGGGAAGAUAAUGACAGUACCAUAGAAGAAAGCUCCGGCUAAAUACGUGCCAGCAGCCGCGGUAAUACGUAUGGAGCGAGCGUUGUCCGGAAUUAUUGGGCGUAAAGGGUACGCAGGCGGUUUAAUAAGUCGAAUGUUAAAGAUCGGGGCUCAACCCCGUAAAGCAUUGGAAACUGAUAAACUUGAGUAGUGGAGAGGAAAGUGGAAUUCCUAGUGUAGUGGUGAAAUGCGUAGAUAUUAGGAGGAAUACCAGUAGCGAAGGCGACUUUCUGGACACAAACUGACGCUGAGGUACGAAAGCGUGGGGAGCAAACAGG
rnacentral:rRNA from 1 species